rnacentral:rRNA from 1 species
CACGAAGGGGGCUAGCGUUGCUCGGAAUCACUGGGCGUAAAGCGCACGUAGGCGGCUUUCUAAGUCAGGGGUGAAAUCCUGGAGCUCAACUCCAGAACUGCCUUUGAUACUGGGGAGCUCGAGUCCGGAAGAGGUGAGUGGAACUCCGAGUGUAGAGGUGAAAUUCGUAGAUAUUCGGAAGAACACCAGUGGCGAAGGCGGCUCACUGGUCCGGUACUGACGCUGAGGUGCGAAAGCGUGGGGAGCAAACAGG